rnacentral:rRNA from 1 species
GACGAACGCUGGCGGCGUGCCUAACACAUGCAAGUCGAGCGAGAUACCUUCGGGUAUCUAGCGGCGGACGGGUGAGUAACACGUGGGUAACCUGCCUCAUAGAGGGGGAUAGCCUUCCGAAAGGGAGAUUAAUACCGCAUAUACUCCAAGCAUCGCAUGGUGCAAGGAGGAAAGGAGUAAUCCGCUAUGAGAUGGACCCGCGGCGCAUUAGCUAGUUGGUGAGGUAACGGCUCACCAAGGCGACGAUGCGUAGCCGACCUGAGAGGGUGAUCGGCCACAUUGGAACUGAGAAACGGUCCAGACUCCUACGGGAGGCAGCAGUGGGGAAUAUUGC